GUGCUCGCUUCGGCAGCACAUGUACUAAAACUGUGAACAAUACAGAGAAGAUUAGCAUGGGCCCUGCGCAAGGAUGACACGCAAAUUCGUGAAGCAUUCUGUAUUUAA
ensembl:snRNA U6 U6 spliceosomal RNA